rnacentral:rRNA from 1 species
UGGGGAAUUUUGGACAAUGGGGGCAACCCUGAUCCAGCAAUGCCGCGUGAGUGAAGAAGGCCUUCGGGUUGUAAAGCUCUUUUGUCAGGGAAGAAACGGGAUGUCCUAAUACGAUGUCCUAAUGACGGUACCUGAAGAAUAAGCACCGGCUAACUACGUGCCAGCAGCCGCGGUAAUACGUAGGGUGCAAGCGUUAAUCGGAAUUACUGGGCGUAAAGCGUGCGCAGGCGGUUAUGUAAGACAGGUGUGAAAUCCCCGGGCUUAACCUGGGAAUGGCAUUUGUGACUGCAUAGCUAGAGUGUGUCAGAGGGGGGUAGAAUUCCACGUGUAGCAGUGAAAUGCGUAGAGAUGUGGAGGAAUACCGAUGACGAAGGCAGCCCCCUGGGAUAACACUGACGCUCAUGCACGAAAGCGUGGGGAGCAAACAGGAUUAGAUACCCUGGUAGUCCACGCCCUAAACGAUGUCUACUAGUUGUCGGGUCUUAAUUGACUUGGUAACGCAGCUAACGCGUGAAGUAGACCGCCUGGGGAGUACGGUCGCAAGA